GAUCGUCUCCGCUGGGGCAUCAGCGCGAAACGCGACGGUGCCGGAAACUCCUCCUCCCUGGCACCGAAAAACGUGAGGAGAUUCCCACACCUCCCUCCGAACGUGACAGGAUACAUCGCCUGGGGUUUUGCAUCCCUUACUUACGUCAUCUCCCUUUCCUGGAUGGUGCCAGCCGCCAUACGGCCUCUAUCCCUCAAAUCAUAUUCCAUCACAGAUUGCACUGGGCCCAUUAACGAGAGAUUUCGCGCCCGAUUAACAGAAUCCGAUACAUUUUACACAAGGCAGGAGAAGAUACCAUCAGAUUGACGCAGAGACGACUGCGAAAAAUUAUGCGCCAAGGUAAAUUUGGGUAAAUGUCAACCGGCCCUUCCACCGUAAGGUAAACAAACAUCUCCCAUGCUCCCCGACCCCACCUUUAACAGACUUCUUUUGAAGGGUACUUAUCUACAAGCACGGCGUAUAUAAGGGGAUGAGGUUGAAGAGGAAAGCGUAUUGUGAUUCGGGGAACGCAACUAAUCGCAUUGACAGCCAAGAUGACGAAACUAGCGCUGCUGCUGAUGGUGUCCCUAGCGCUGGGAGCUGCGGCCCACAACGAAACCGCUCGCAUAUUCAACAUUUUCCCUUGGGUGUUGAGUAGGCCUCCCCUCACGGCGCUGGGUGGGGCAGCAGGAGGAGGAAGAGUUCCUCCCUACACGAAAGGAGAAGAAGCAGCAGCAGGGGGAGGAGGAGGAGGGGUAGGAACCAAAGACGUUGCUUUCGCAGACGACAUUGCCUUCGACUGCCGCGUCAUGUGUAGAGGUCCCUACGGACGUUUUCACUGCUGCGAAGGCAACUCGGUUUACCCCAAUUUCUCGACGUAUAGGACGAUCAAACCCGGGAGCUGCCCUUCGUCAGUUCGCCCCCAGUGUCCCCCGAUGGGUGCGGGUUCUCCCCCGAAAAGGUGCUCCCACGAUAGCUCCUGUCUCGGGGUGGACAAGUGUUGCUACGACACCUGUCUCGGGCAUCACAUUUGUAAACCGCCUCAGUUCUAUGGUUAGAGAAUCAGAUUUAUUUUCCAUAGAAUAAAAGCAGAGUUACGGUAAU